rnacentral:lncRNA from 1 species
GCAAGAGCUAGGGAGUAUGAAUGAAGGAGUAUGACAAUGAGCAGGAGAAGAAGAACACAUAUUUCUAGGAAAUCAGUUUCAUUAGUUCUGCUGCUCAUGGAAAAACGUAAAAAGUGGGAUUCACCAUAAGGUCCAAAACUGGCCUUUGCGUCUACUCUUAUGAAACCCGGUUUGUUCCUAAUUGCAGAUUAUCUUAAUGAGUCAUCUCUCCUUAACUUCCUCUUCACCAGGGAAAAAAUAACAUUCAGCACAGAUUGGAUGUGUCAUAAAAUAGCUAAAUCCCAGCUGGGUGGUCCCAGCAUGGAGCAUUUACGCAGUUCUUCAGAAACAGAUGCAGCUCUUAGCAGAGACUACAAUGAAGGAGACUACAGGGUAGCAAGCAAGGCACAACAGUCUCCUUUCUGCCUCACCCAGUCUUUCCUCAGUGCUUCCUGGCAGCUCUUCUUGCUUUGUGACUCGAGUAUGAAGAGCACCUCCUUACUCCAGGCUGAGGACCAUGGAGUCUUACAAACUGCCUGUUCACCAACUGUUAUGAAGAGGGACAUUUGA